AAUAAGUGCAGUUUUGCACUUUUCACAUUUAACGUUUGACUGUUCGUCUUAUUUAAAAUUUUUUUAUGAAUAGUAUUUUUAUUGCUAUUAGAUGAUAAAACAUGAAUAGUACUUUAUGUGUGACUAAAUAUUUUCAAAUUUUUCAUAUUUUUUUAAAUAAGCCGGACGGUUAAACGUUGGGCACAGAUAUUCACGGCUGCACUUAUU
rfam:Oryza barthii chromosome 7, whole genome shotgun sequence.